rnacentral:rRNA from 1 species
UACGAAGGGGGCGAGCGUUGUUCGGAUUUACUGGGCGUAAAGGGCGCGUAGGCGGCCUGGCAAGUCGAUGGUGAAAGCCCGAGGCUCAACUUCGGGUCGGCCACUGAUACUGCUGGGCUUGAGUCGACUAGAGGCAGAUGGAAUUCCGGGUGUAGCGGUGGAAUGCGUAGAGAUCCGGAAGAACACCGGUGGCGAAGGCGGUCUGCUGGGGUCGAACUGACGCUGAGGCGCGACAGCGUGGGGAGCAAACAGG